GAUGAACGCUAGCGGCAGGCCUAACACAUGCAAGUCGAGGGAGAAGCCCUUCGGGGCAGAAACCGGCGCACGGGUGCGUAACGCGUAUGCAACCUACCUUUCACAGGGGGAUAGCCCGAAGAAAUUUGGAUUAAUACCCCAUAAUAUUAUUGGAUGGCAUCAUUUGAUAAUUAAAAUUACGAUGGUGAAAGAUGGGCAUGCGUCCUAUUAGCUAGUUGGAGUGGUAACGGCACCCCAAGGCUACGAUAGGUAGGGGUCCUGAGAGGGAGAUCCCCCACACUGGUACUGAGACAGGGACCAGACUCCUACGGGAGGCAGCAGUGAGGAAUAUUGGUCAAUGGUCGGAAGACUGAACCAGCCAUGCCGCGUGCAGGAAGAAUGCCUUAUGGGUUGUAAACUGCUUUUAUAUGGGAAGAAUAAGGAGUACGUG
rnacentral:rRNA from 1 species